rnacentral:rRNA from 1 species
AGUGAACGCUGGCGGUAGGCCUAACACAUGCAAGUCGAACGGCAGCACAGUAAGAGCUUGCUCUUACGGGUGGCGAGUGGCGGACGGGUGAGGAAUACAUCGGAAUCUACUUUUUCGUGGGGGAUAACGUAGGGAAACUUACGCUAAUACCGCAUACGACCUACGGGUGAAAGCAGGGGAUCUUCGGACCUUGCGCGAUUGAAUGAGCCGAUGUCGGAUUAGCUAGUUGGCGGGGUAAAGGCCCACCAAGGCGACGAUCCGUAGCUGGUCUGAGAGGAUGAUCAGCCACACUGGAACUGAGACACGGUCCAGACUCCUACGGGAGGCAGCAGUGGGGAAUAUUGGACAAUGGGCGCAAGCCUGAUCCAGCCAUACCGCGUGGGUGAAGAAGGCCUUCGGGUUGUAAAGCCCUUUUGUUGGGAAAGAAAAGCAGCAGGUUAAUACCCCGCUGUUCUGACGGGACCCAAAGAAUAAGCACCGGCUAACUUCGG